rnacentral:rRNA from 1 species
UACGUAGGGUGCGAGCGUUAAUCGGAAUUACUGGGCGUAAAGCGUGCGCAGGCGGUUUUUGUAUGCCAGAUGUGAAAUCCCCGGGCUUAACCUGGGAAUGGCAUUUGGGACUGCAAGGCUGGAGUUUGGCAGAGGAGACUGGAAUUCCUGGUGUAGCAGUGAAAUGCGUAGAUAUCAGGAGGAAUACCGAUGGCGAAGGCAGGUCUCUGGGCUAUAACUGACGCUCAUGCACGAAAGCGUGGGAGCGAA